rnacentral:lncRNA from 1 species
GGGGAUGCGAUAGCUGAGCAGGCCACGGCUGGAGCUGGCCAGAGGAAAGGGAGAUUGCGUGAAGAUGGGAAGACACCGGGGCCAGGAAAAGCCAUCCUUCAUGAGCUUGACAGCCCUGGGAGCCGACAGAGGGACUUACUGAACGGGACUAAAGGAAGCGGGACCACAUCUCUAAGACAGUGGAGAGGGGAGAGGAAGCUGCAGCAGGCAGCUAGGCUCAAGCAGCGGCAGACUGAAACCUGGGUGCACUCACUUUCAUCCUGGGUGACCCCCUCCCUGAGCCUCCAUCCUUACAAGAGUAUAAAGAUGGCCACAGCCUCAGAAGGACAAACUGCCAGGAGUAUGUUGAGGUCAGCUACACUACACACUUCUACCAUGAUGCAUUGCUUCACCACAGGUUCCCAAACAACCAGAAUGAACAUUGUCACCUUUUAGAGUUCAAGUUGGGUAUGCAGAGACCAGGAAGACUUUGGGAGACACCAUCCCACCUGAGGAUAACAGGCAUGCCUGGUGCCUAUGGAAGCCGGAAGAAGCCUUUGGAGCCCCUGGAACUGACAUUACAGAUAAUCGUGAACUGUCAUUUGGGUGGUCUUCCAUAUUCAAGUCUCUGAACACCCGACUGCUGAUCACUUGUGACAUGUGCUGUGGGCUUGGCCAGUGUGCCUUGAGGCUGUGGCAGCCCUGCUAAGAGGUGAAGUCAGAGGGGCAGGUUCCAGCCACCUACACCCCAAGUCCUACAGUCUCCGGGGUUUGGUCAGCCUGGUGUGCACUGGCUGGCCCUCUCCUUGUGGUUGUGGCUGGUAGCCUGGGAUUUGGUCACAGCAAGGAACACCGUCACUAAUGCAGGCUGGAAGGAGCUUUCUUCCCAAAGCAGGAACCAGGAAAGAAUCAACUGUGCUUUAAAUGAGUCACUGAGCCAACAAUCAACAGAGCACUGCGUAAAUCCUCACCUAGAUGAGAAGACAGUGGCCUUCUUUCUGGUUGAAGGUUAAAUCCAAGACAUGAUGAGUCUGCUCUGCAUUCCUGAGCUCCACCUCGGAUCCUAAAACAUGUUUGAGGAAAAUUCUCUUCCCAUCUCAUGGACAGGGGUAGAAUUUUAAAAAAGAACAUAAAUUAUCAUCCUAAAAUCACAGCAAACAGGUAGAGUGUGACCACCCUGUUUUGGAAUCUAACAUUGACCAUGUUCUGUUAGGCAUGGAACACACCAUGGCCAACUAUCUGACUGUGGGCCGACUGUCUAUCUGUCGGCACACCACGAUCCCAGAGACUCUCCCAACCCAGUGCCUUUCAGUUGGGAGUUGGACAGUUAGGAGGCGGGGUUAGCAAAGAGUGGGUGGAGGGAAUUGACAGAGGUCAGAGUAUUUCUUCUCUGGUUCCUCUUGCUCGGACUAGCUACAUGCUAUGACCCCAGGACAUAGCU